CUCAAAAAUGUUGUCGAUCCGUACCAUUGGAAUCGGAUGGACUGGGAAUUCACGAUCGGAAAAUAUGAAAUGUCGAUCCGUGAAUCUAGUGCUAAAGCUUGUGUGUGGCUAAGUGAGGCCUCAGAAAUGUUGUCGAUCCGUACGAUUGGUAACGGAUAGACUAGGAAUUCACGAUCGGAAAAUAUGAUUUGUCGAUGCGUGAAUCUGGUGCUCAAGCUUGUGUGUGGCUAAGGGAGGCCUCGAAAAUGUUGUCGAUCCGUACCAUUGGUAACGGAUGGACUGGGAAUUCACGAUCGUAAAAUAUGAAUUGUCGAUCCGUGAAUCUAGUGCCCAAGCGUUCGAGUGGCUAAGGGAGGCCUCAAAAAUGUUGUCGAUCCGUACCAUUGGAAUCGGAUGGACUGGGAAUUCACGAUCGGAAAAUAUGAAAUGUCGAUCCGUGAAUCUAGUGCUAAAGCUUGUGUGUGGCUAAGUGAGGCCUCAGAAAUGUUGUCGAUCCGUACGAUUGGUAACGGAUAGACUAGGAAUUCACGAUCGGAAAAUAUGAUUUGUCGAUGCGUGAAUCUGGUGCUCAAGCUUGUGUGUGGCUAAGGGAGGCCUCGAAAAUGUUGUCGAUCCGUACCAUUGGUAAGGCCUACAUUGGGGGCCAAGGUCGCCUAAUGUCGCCUAAUUUCGCCUAAUGUCGCCUAAUUUCGCCCACUUUCGCCCAUGUGCACCUAAGAUUUGAACUUUGACUGACAGUCUAUUCGCUUAAUGUCGCCUAAUUUCGCCUAAUGUUGCAUAAUCUCACACAAGCAAACCCAUUUUGAGUUUGUCGUCCAUACUAGUCUAUUCCUUAUUUAUUUGUUAGUUUCCUGCAUGUUUUUUUCAUAAAUUAAUAUAUGUACACAAACACAAAGGGCAUGUGCUGUUAGGGCACCAUCUCUCACCAGCAUUAAUGAGGCUUGGUUAUUUGGCG